AUAUCAAUAAGCGGAGGAAAAGAAACUAACAAGGAUUCCCCUAGUAACUGCGAGUGAAGCGGGAAAAGCUCAAAUUUAAAAUCUGGUAGUCUUUGAUUGCCCGAGUUGUAAUCUAGAGAAGCGUUAUCCGCGCUGGACCGUGUACAAGUCUCCUGGAAUGGAGCGUCAUAGAGGGUGAGAAUCCCGUCUUUGGCACGGACCCCAGGGCUUCUGUGAUGCGCUCUCAAAGAGUCGAGUUGUUUGGGAUUGCAGCUCUAAGUGGGUGGUAAAUUCCACCUAAAGCUAAAUAUUGGUGGGAGACCGAUAGCGCACAAGUA
rnacentral:rRNA from 1 species